GUCUACAUCCAUGCCACCCUGAAUGUGCUGGAUCUUGUCUGAUUUCAAGCUAAGCAGGGUCAGGCCUGGGCCUGGUUAGUACUUGGAUGGGAGACCACCUAGGAAUACCAGGUGCUGUAGGUG
rnacentral:rRNA from 1 species